UCCUCACCUCUACCAAAGUUUAAUCUGUCUCAGAAGUGGUCGCAAUGAAUCUCGGCAACCCGGCACCAACAUCCCGGUUGCAAGCUUAAAGAAAAGCGUGCCACAGGUUGAUCCCGCUGCUGGAUCGAUUUUAACCGAAGCCUCGUUUAGUCAAAAUCCGGGAUCAACCGGUGUCUGAACCCUUUGAGGAUCAGUCCACUCUCAAGUAGUUCCACAAGAGUUCGAAUGGUUGCAAAAGUUUGUCGAUAGUAUGGACAUGAAAACGUUGAACGGAACCACCCCGCUCGAUGAUAAGUGGAAUGAACUGCAGAAUUUUCUGGUCAAAGACGAAUUCAAGUGACAUGUUAGUGUGGCUCGACUGUUUCGGAAAAAAAUUCGUUCCAUGGAUUGUGUGCCAUACAAUCAAGCCCGGAUAAAGCUACCACAUCCACUGAUACAUAAAUGCAGCAUUUGUUAAGGAACUUGGAUUUGGCAGAAGACAGAUAAUUCUUACGCAGACUCCUCUACAAAAUACCGUAAAUGACUGCUGGUUUGGUCUCAGAAAUCGACAGUUAUCGUUUGCCUGAAUACACCAAAUUGAGAUACUUGACACUUCUUGGCCAACGAAAAUCAACCAGGAGCUUAGCUACAUAGACGUAUCUUUCCGGCUGAUCAAACAGUUUGAUCUGUCGCAAUGCAUCGAACGGGCGCUACGGGCAACAAUUCACG